UACGUAGGGGGCAAGCGUUGUUCGGAAUUACUGGGCGUAAAGGGCGCGUAGGCGGCACAGCAAGUCGGGAGUGAAAGCCCGGGGCUCAACCCCGGAAUGGCUUUCGAAACUGCUGAGCUAGAGUACAGAAGGGGCAACCGGAAUUCCCAGUGUAGCGGUGAAAUGCGUAGAUAUCAUUUGGAACGCCAAUGGUGAAAACAGGUUGCUGGGAGUGUGCUGACACUGAGACACGAAAGCCAGGGGAGCGAACGGG
rnacentral:rRNA from 1 species